rnacentral:tRNA from 2 species
GGGCGGUUAGCUCAGCGGUAGAGCACUGCUUUCACACGGCAGGGGUCAGUGGUUCGAUCCCACUACCGCCCACCA